UGACCGUCUGGACAGGACGUUGAUUAGAAGAGAGGCAGAGAAUGUACUGAUGCCCGCAUCUGAGUUCUUCGGGUGGCCUGGGGCCCGAAGACACAUGUGAUUCCAUCGUGUCAGGGUGACUGGUAGACCAUCCUCUGUGGCGGUGUUGUUGUUAAAGUCAGUGAGUCGUUGUUACGCUUCCCUCCUGGGAUGAAGUCUUGGGAAUUUUAGAGUAACUUCACACAUGCACUCCUAUUUUAUUAACACUCCUCAGAUGCCAUGCAGGGCUCUGAACUUCAAACAAAGCUGGCUGGGAUUUGAUCCUCCAAAGAGAAGAAGAGACUCCAUCAAGAUGCCCACAUGCCUGAAGCUAUUUGUUGGAUCCCAAAAAAAGAUGUGUAAAGCCACUCAGUAAAUCCCUUUCUGGAGGACACCGAAGUUGGAGGAUGGUAAGAAAGACAGAUCGCAGACCAGAGCGAAAGCGUUUUUGUCGUACAUCGACAUUAAAGGUUUGUUCAUCUCCUUUGGCAACUGUGUACUUCCUGCAUCUGAACCAAUAUUUGGAAGGGACGUUUUUUUCUGUUUAUAUAACUUCCAUGUUUCAGAGAAGACGUCACGGCUGAAAGAGAGGCAGUUUGAGAAAAGGUCUGUUCUCUGUUCUCCACAAGCCAAGGGAAACAUGUUUUUAAAAUCUUGCUAACACGUUAGC